rnacentral:rRNA from 1 species
UACGGAGGGAGCUAGCGUUGUUCGGAAUUACUGGGCGUAAAGCGCACGUAGGCGGCUUUGCAAGUUAGAGGUGAAAGCCUGGGGCUCAACUCCAGAACUGCCUUUAAAACUGCAUCGCUUGAAUCCAGGAGAGGUGAGUGGAAUUCCGAGUGUAGAGGUGAAAUUCGUAGAUAUUCGGAAGAACACCAGUGGCGAAGGCGGCUCACUGGACUGGUAUUGACGCUUAGGUGCGAAAGCGUGGGGAGCAAACAGG